rnacentral:rRNA from 1 species
UACGUAGGGUGCAAGCGUUAAUCGGAAUUACUGGGCGUAAAGCGUGCGCAGGCGGUUUUGUAAGUCUGACGUGAAAUCCCCGGGCUCAACCUGGGAAUUGCGUUGGAGACUGCAAGGCUGGAGUCUGGCAGAGGGGGGUAGAAUUCCACGUGUAGCAGUGAAAUGCGUAGAGAGUGUGGAGGAACACCGAUGGCGAAGGCAGCCCCCUGGGUCAAGACUGGACGCUCAUGCACGAAAGCGUGGGGAGC